CCUACGGGAGGCAGCAGUGGGGAAUAUUGCACAAUGGGCGAAAGCCUGAUGCAGCGACGCCGCGUGAGCGAAGAAGUAUUUCGGUAUGUAAAGCUCUAUCAGCAGGGAAGAUAAUGACGGUACCUGACUAAGAAGCACCGGCUAACUACGUGCCAGCAGCCGCGGUAAUACGUAGGGGGCAAGCGUUAUCCGGAUUUACUGGGUGUAAAGGGAGCGUAGACGGUGUGGCAAGUCUGAUGUGAAAGGCAUGGGCUCAACCUGUGGACUGCAUUGGAAACUGUCAUACUUGAGUGCCGGAGGGGUAAGCGGAAUUCCUAGUGUAGCGGUGAAAUGCGUAGAUAUUAGGAGGAACACCAGUGGCGAAGGCGGCUUUCUGGACUGUAACUGACGCUGAGGCUCGAAAGCUAGGGUAGCGAACGGGAUU
rnacentral:rRNA from 1 species